CUUUACCAAUUUUCUAUGAAUGAAUUUGUACAUACAUCCCCUAGAGCAGGAAGUAAUGUAAAACAGAAUAAUUAGUAAUGCACAUUUCCUAAUGUGGGAUGUUGGUGGCCAAGAGAUAUUUGGUCUUUACUGGAACUCUUGAUACUAACAUGGAGUUUAUAAUAGUUGUGGAGAGUGCAGACAAGGCUAGGAUUUCUGUGACUAGAGAACUCUUAGUGCGUGAAGACCUAAGGAAAGCUGGAUUGUUGAUUUUUGUUAAUAAAUAAGAUGUGAAAGAUUGCAUCACUGUAGCAGAAAUCUCCUAGUUUUUUAAGCUAAAUUCUAUUAAAGGUCAUCAUUGCUAAAGGAAUUGUGCCCAGGAUUUGGAUAGCUGAUGUCAUUACUUA
rnacentral:lncRNA from 1 species